rnacentral:rRNA from 1 species
UACGUAGGUGGCUAGCGUUAUCCGGAAUUAUUGGGCGUAAAGAGUACGUAGGUGGUUUCCUAAGCGAGGGGUUUAAGGCAAUGGCUUAACCAUUGUUCGCCCCCCGAACUGGGUUACUUGAGUGCUGGAGGGGAAAGCGGAAUUCCUAGUGUAGCGGUGAAAUGCGUAGAUAUUAGGAGGAACACCAGUGGCGAAGGCGGCUUUCUGGACAGUAACUGACACUGAGGUACGAAAGUGUGGGGAGCAAACAGGAUUAGAUACCCUGGUAGUCCCUGAGCGGGCUGGCAAGG